rnacentral:rRNA from 1 species
AUUGAACGCUGGCGGCAUGCUUUACACAUGCAAGUCGAACGGUAACAGCACUUCGGUGGCUGACGAGUGGCGAACGGGUGAGUAAUACAUCGGAACGUGCCUAGUAGUGGGGGAUAACUACUCGAAAGAGUAGCUAAUACCGCACGAGAUCUAAGGAUGAAAGCAGGGGACCUUCGGGCCUUGCGCUACUAGAGCGGCUGAUGGCAGAUUAGGUAGUUGGUGGGAUAAAAGCUUACCAAGCCGACGAUCUGUAGCUGGUCUGAGAGGGCGACCAGCCACACUGGGACUGAGACACGGCCCAGACUCCUACGGGAGGCAGCAGUGGGGAAUUUUGGACAAUGGGCGCAAGCCUGAUACAGCAAUGCCGCGUGCAGGAUGAAGGCCUUCGGGUUGUAAACUGCUUUUGUACGGAACGAAAAGCCCUCUUCUAAUACAGGAGGGUCAUGACGGUACCGUAAGAAUAAGCACCGGCUAACUACGUG